rnacentral:lncRNA from 1 species
AUGAAUCAGGUGAAUAAUAACAAGAAUAAUUCAAAACAAGAAGAUCGAAAGCUUAUGCAUCCUGUGGUGAAUCCGGUGUUCGCAAAACCAACAGAAUUCCUAAAGCGUUUUGCUGCUUCUAAGAAACCAAGUUUAUCACUCUCAUCAUACCAGCCGAUCCCACCGAACAUUAAGUAUGAAUCUCCAAUGGUUAAUCGAACUGGUGUACAAUCAGCAAUUUCAACAGAAACAAGGUCAAGUGACUCAUCAAGAGGAGUAAACUUUCAACGCAGCAUCAGCACGAAUAGUCUCUCUUCAUCGUCACAGUUGUAUCGACCAGGAUAUCAGUCUUCGACGACCGCGACAAAGCCUGCAUCAUCUUCUUCAAGAACACCAAUUUCGUCUCGGUUAAUAUAUUUUUCUUUUCACAUUAAUAAGAAGAAAUACAAAAAAAGACCUUGAAGCUUUUAUACUUUAAACAUGAUGGACAUAUAAUUCCUUCGUCCUAAACGGCAAGAGUAAUAUUUGUUUCUGGUCAAAGCAGCUACUUUGAAGUAAAUGGAUCAAAGCGCAUUGCCUAACAUUGUGAUAACAAAAUUUCUUAUGACAACAAUAUCUAAAUUUAAUGGACAUCAUAGAUGUUAAUUACUUGGUCUGAGAUCUUCAGUAAUUUUCUACUUUUUAAUAUAGGUAAGCCCUUGUAGCAUUAAGGUGAUCCGUCAAGCUCAGUGACGUGGUCAAACUGGCAUGCGAUAUAUUGCAUUGAUUAGGUACAAAUUAGCAGAUUUUGAAUUUUUAGCAAAAAUAAGGACAAAGCCCCUGCGCAUGAGCUUAAAGAAUCAUUUGAAACCCAAAAAUCUGCAAAUUUCAGAGAAAUCAAAGCAGAAUAGUGUUGGGAAACAACUUGCAUUCAAUUCAACUAUCGAUUUCUGUAUCGGAUGCGAGAUUUUUUUCCAAACACUAUUCUGCUUUCAUUUCUCUGAAUUUUGCCGAUUUUUGGGUUUAGAAUGAUUCUUUAGGCUCAUGCCCAGGGGCUAUAGUCUUUUUUUUGCUAAAAAUUUAAAAUCUGCCGAGAAUUUGGACCUAAUCGAUGCCAUAUAACCAUGCCAGUUCGACCAUGUCACUUGAGCUUGACAAUCACCUUAACAGUAAAUUUGGACUUGUAAUACUGAAAGGUUUACUAAUUGGGAGACCCUUUUUCUUUUAAGUAAAAUUUAUGUAAAAUUUAAAAGUGAAAAAAGUUACAAAAAAAUGAACACAAAACGUUAAGUAUACAGGAAAAUAUGCAAAAUACAGAAAUGAGAAUAAAGUAAUAUUUUUUAUGAGAUGUACUAAAAUAACAUAACCCAAAAACUCAUAUUCUUGCAAAAGUAACACUUUCACAUAAAAAGAAUGAGAGAGCUUCCUACUCUAUAAGUAGGUAUCAUAUAUAAAAGUUUUUUUUUUUUUUUUUUUUUGAGAGCUAUCCCUUCUCUAAAGUUUUUAAGUUCUAUUGGCUUUUGGAAAUAACUUUUUCGUAGUCAAUUUUUGGAGAAGUCUAUUCUACUUUUUUCCUUUGAAUUAAGUUAUGUACAUUUAGAGACUGAUGAAAUGAAUGAAAGUGGAAUUUUUGAAUUUUUAGGGGUACUAGAAACGUGAGCAGUUGGACUUGUUCCUCACAAUCAUCUCAAAAGCGAGGAACAGAGAGAACCACAAGUGUAUCUAAAGAUCGUCUAGCUCAGCAACAACCUCUACUUCGAAUCAAUCUCGUGUUAUUAUCGGUGAGUCAAAAUAACCUUUUUUGGAUUUGGUGAAACGGGAUGUAUUGAACAGAAAGCUCCAUAAGAAUAUUAGUAGAUAUGAAUGUAAGGUCGUUUGAGUAUUCUCUGUGUUUUUUACUUAUUAUAUUUCUCUAAUUCUGUUGUUAAUCAUGUGCAAAUAAUUAUUUGUUUUCUCUUUUUCCCACCACUUAAGAGUUUUUACAAACUCAGAUCUAACUUUCAUGUCACAUUUUCUUCCAAAAUUAGCUAUCACAGAGGGAAGAGGAAAUGCUUGUGGUGAGGUUGGUCUUGCUGCUAUAGAUGUACAUCGUCCAUGUUUGAUCUUGUGCCAGCUCAGUGACCUCAUAAUUAUACCAACACGAUAGCAAAACUAAACGUUCUCAACCCCGCCGUUGUAAGCUUUUACUUUUAACUUUUCUUAAAGCUUGAACUUUUUUCCUUCUAUUUUGUCUUUAUGUCCUAUAGUAUUAAAGCAGCCUGAUUCACAAGGGGAACUUACGAACCUGCCGCCUCCGAUUGGGCUGAAUUUUUUUUGACAGACUCUAUGGACCAAUUCUAGAGGUCAAUUUGAGCCGUUUUCCUGAAUGCGCAAUAGGAAGGGCGUAAAAAAUUUCCAAAAAUUGCGUUUUCGGCGCGUGGCAACACUGCGUAGCCUCUAGUACCGCUUUAUCGCUCGCAUCGCUUCAGUCAACUCCUGAGCCCUACUGCACAGGAGCUGGCUUCGUAAUUGCGCGGCCCAGGUUCGGUUCCCAGUCUGGUGACUUACUUUUUAUUUUCAGCAUGAUCACGUAAUCAUUUUAUUUUUAAUCCUGCACUUACUUUUUAUUUUC